rnacentral:rRNA from 1 species
GACGAACGCUGACGGCGUGCUUAACACAUGCAAGUCGAAGGGAGUGGCGAACGGGUGAGUAACACGUGAGUAACCUGCCCAUUUCUUUGGGAUAAGCCUGGGAAACUGGGUCUAAUACUGGAUGGAUUGUGAUGGGCUAGGGGCUUAUCAGGUGUUUGGUGGGGUGAUGGCUUACCAAGGCUUGGACGGGUGGCCGGGCUGAGCGGGUGGUCGGUCACACUGGGACGGAGAUAAGGCCCAGAGGAGGACGGGGGGGAGAAUUUGGGGAUAGUGCACAAUGGACGAAAGUCUGAUGCCGCGAGGUCGUGUGGGGGAUGAGGGCCUUAGGGUUGUAAACUCCUUUCGCCAGCGGAAUGGUAGUGGGUAAAGAAGCGCCGGCUAACUACGUGCCAGCAGCCGCGGUAAUAC